ACCUAGGUAGCUUAAUUUAAGAGCAUAAUAUUGAAGAUAUUAGGGUAACUGUCUCAGUUCUUAGGUA
rnacentral:tRNA from 1 species